rnacentral:rRNA from 1 species
CCCCUAGAUGUUCUGGGCCGCACGCGAGCUACACUGAACAGUUCAACAAGUCUUAACCUUGGCCGAUAGGUCUGGGUAAUCUUUGAACGCUGUUCGUGAUUGGGAUAGACCUUUGCAAUUAUGGGUCUUCAACGAGGAAUUCCUAGUAAACGCAAGUCAUCAGCUUGCAUUGAUUACGUCCCUGCCCUUUGUACACACCGCCCGUCGCACCUACCGAUUGAAUGGUCCGGUGAAAUCUCGGGACGGCGGCUUGGUCGCUUGCGUCCGACUGCUGAAACUUGAUUAAACCAUAUCAUUUAGAGGAAGGUGAANUCGUANCA